rnacentral:rRNA from 1 species
CCUACGGGAGGCAGCAGUCGAGAAUCAUUCACAAUGGGGGAAACUCUGAUGGUGCGACGCCGCGUGGGGGAAUGAAGCUCUUUGGAUUGUAAACCGCUUUUAUGCGGGAGUAAACUAAAAAGCUAGUAUCCCACUAGGAAGAGACGGCUAAUUCUGUGCCAGCAGCUGCGGGAAUACAGAGGUCUCAAGCGUUGUUCGGAAUGAGUGGGCGUAAAGGGUGCGGAGGCUGAUUCGUAAGUCGUGUGUGAAAGGCGCGGGCUCAACCCGCGGACGGCACAUGAUACUGCGGGACUAGAGUAAUGAUGCGGGAGCCGGAAUUCUCGGUGUAGCAGUGAAAUGCGUAGAUAUC